UACGUAGGGUGCAAGCGUUAAUCGGAAUUACUGGGCGUAAAGCGUGCGCAGGCGGCUAUGCAAGUCAGAUGUGAAAUCCCCGGGCUCAACCUGGGAACUGCAUUUGUGACUGCAUGGCUAGAGUACGGUAGAGGGGGAUGGAAUUCCGCGUGUAGCGGUGAAAUGCGUAGAUAUGCGGAGGAACACCGAUGGCGAAGGCAAUCCCCUGGACCUGUACUGACGCUGAUGCACGAAAGCGUGGGGAGCAAACAGG
rnacentral:rRNA from 1 species